UACGGGGGGAGCAAGCGUUGUUCGGAUUUACUGGGCGUAAAGGGCGGGUAGGCGGCCACCGCAAGUCAGUUGUGAAAUCUCUGGGCUUAACCCAGAAAGGUCAACUGAUACUGCGGGGCUAGAGUGCAGAAGGGGCAACUGGAAUUCUCGGUGUAGCGGUGAAAUGCGUAGAUAUCGAGAGGAACACCUGCGGCGAAGGCGGGUUGCUGGGCUGACACUGACGCUGAAAUGCGAAAGCUAGGGGAGCGAACGGG
rnacentral:rRNA from 1 species